CGUGAGUAACCUGCCCUGGAGUGGGGGAAUAACAGUUGGAAACAGCUGCUAAUACCGCAUAAUAUGUCUGUGUCGCAUGGCACUGGACAUCAAAGAUUUAUCGCUCUGAGAUGGACUCGCGUCUGAUUAGCUGGUUGGCGGGGUAACGGCCCACCAAGGCGACGAUCAGUAGCCGGACUGAGAGGUUGGCCGGCCACAUUGGGACUGAGAUACGGCCCAGACUCCUACGGAAGGCAGCAG
rnacentral:rRNA from 1 species